rnacentral:rRNA from 1 species
GUGGGGAAUCUUCCACAAUGGACGAAAGUCUGAUGGAGUAACGCCGCGUGAGUGAAGAAGGGUUUCGGCUCGUAAAGCUCUGUUGUCGGGGACGAAUGUGCAGUAUUUGAAUAAAGUACUGCAAUGACGGUACCUGACGAGGAAGCCACGGCUAACUACGUGCCAGCAGCCGCGGUAAUACGUAGGUGGCAAGCGUUGUCCGGAAUUAUUGGGCGUAAAGGGAGCGCAGGCGGGAAGGUAAGUCGGUCUUAAAAGUGCGGGGCUCAACCCCGGGAUGGGAUCGAAACUAUCUUUCUUGAGUGCAGGAGAGGAAAGUGGAAUUCCUAGUGUAGCGGUGAAAUGCGUAGAUAUUAGGAGGAACACCAGUGGCGAAGGCGACUUUCUGGACUGUAACUGACGCUGAGGCUCGAAAGCCAGGGGAGCGAACGGGAUUAGAAACCCUUGUAGUCC